rnacentral:rRNA from 1 species
AACGAUCGCUGGCGGCAUGCCUAACACAUGCAAGUCGAACGAGACAUUCGGGUCUAGUGACGCACGGGUGCGUAACGCGUGGGAAACUGCACUUAGGAUCGGAAUAAGUUCACGAAAGGGGAGCUAAUACCGGAGAAUGUCUACGGCCCAAAGACUUAUCGCCUUUUGCUGGGCCGGCGUUGGGUUAGAUAGUUGGUGGUGUAAAAACUUACCAACGCGACGAUCCAUAGCUGGUCUGAGAGGAUGAUCAGCCACACUUGGACUGAGACACGGCCCAGACUCCUACGGGAGGCAGCAGUGGGGAAUAUUGCACAAUGGGCGAAAGCCUGAUCCAGCAAUGCCGCGUGAGUUAUGAAUGCCUUAGUGUUGUAAAGCUCUUUUACCCGGUCUGAUAAUGACCUUACCGUGAGAAUAAGCCCCGGCUAACUCCGUG